UCGAGAAUCUUCGGCAAUGGACGAAAGUCUGACCGAGCGAUGCCGCGUGCGGGAUGAAGGCCCUCGGGUUGUAAACCGCUGUCAGUUGGGAGGAAGGGUCUGUGAAGAGCAGACUUUGACCUAUCUUCAGAGGAAGUCCGGGCUAAGUUCGUGCCAGCAGCCGCGGUAACACGAACCGGACAAACGUUAUUCGGAAUUAUUGGGCUUAAAGGGUGCGUAGGCGGCCAUGUAGGUGGGGUGUGAAAUCCCUCGGCUCAACCGAGGAACUGCGCUCCAAACCACAUGGCUAGAGGGAGACAGAGGUAAGCGGAACUGAUGGUGGAGCGGUGAAAUGCGUUGAUAUCAUCAGGAACACCAGUGGCGAAAGCGGCUUACUGGGUCUCUUCUGACGCUGAGGCACGAAAGCUAGGGUAGCGAACGGGAUUAGAUACCCCCGUAGUCC
rnacentral:rRNA from 1 species